rnacentral:tRNA from 3 species
GCCCUGGUAGCUCAGGUGGAUAGAGCGUCCGCCUCCUAAGCGGGAGGUCGCCGGUUCGAGUCCGGCCCAGGGCACCA